GUCUGUUUGAAGAUAUAAAAAGUCUGGCCUGCCCACUGAUAUUUUUAAAGGGCCGCGGUAAUUUGACCGUGCAAAGGUAGCAUAAUCGUUAGUUUUUUAAUUGGAAUCUUGUAUGAAUGGUUGAACAAAAGAAUAACUGUCUUUAUGUUUUUUUUUGAAUUUAACUUUUAAGUGAAAAGGCUUAAAUAAAUUAAAAAGACGAUAAGACCCUAUAAAGCUUAAUAAGUUUUUAUAUAGAAUUAAAUUUUUAAAAUAAAAAUUUUGUAUGUAUUGCUUAUUUUGUUGGGGCGACAAUAAUAAAAUGUUUAUUAACUGUUAAAAAAAGAAAACAUAGUUUUAUGAUUUAGUAUAAAUGUAAAUGAUCCUUAUAUAAAGAUUAAAAGUUUAAGUUACUUUAGGGAUAACAGCGUUAUUUCUUUUGAGAGUUCUUAUCGAAAAAGAAGUUUGCGACCUCGAUGUUGAAUUAAAAUUUCUUUGUAAUUGUAGAAGUUACAAAAGAAGGUCUGUUCGACCUUUAAAUUUUUACAUGAUUUGAGUUCAGACCGGCGUGAG
rnacentral:rRNA from 1 species